rnacentral:rRNA from 1 species
UACAGAGGGUGCAAGCGUUAAUCGGAGUUACUGGGCGUAAAGGGCGCGUAGGCGGUUAUAUAAGUGAGAUGUGAAAUCCCUGGGCUUAACCUAGGAACUGCAUCUCAUACUGUAUGACUGGAGUAUUGUAGAGGGUAGUGGAAUUUCCGGUGUAGCGGUGAAAUGCGUAGAUAUCGGGAGGAACAUCAGUGGCGAAGGCGGCUACCUGGCCCAAUACUGACACUCAGGUGCGACAGCGUGGGGAGCAAACAGG